GGCACUCUGUUGAUUUCUGACCUUGAAUUUAGUUUAGAGUCCUUGCCAGGAAUAGAUUUCAGCUCCAAUUUCAACCGCUAAGUACAAGUGCCUUCCCCUGUCAUGAUUCCUAAACAGAAGUGUCUGAGUCUUCAAAAGCAAACAGAUGCAGCGGCGGCAUCAGCACUAGGAGGUCUAAUGGUGCUGGCACUGCUGUAGAAAGCUGUAUGGUGCUGACACAGAUGACAGUGAGACUGAUCCUUAUGGACUAUAGAGUGAUAAGGGGCCUCACUCACCCCAGUCCACCGUGACAUGCCAGCUGUUCAAUAUAGUCUAGAUCAGGGGUAGGCAACCUUUCAGAAGUGGUGUGCCGAGUCUUCAUUUAUUCACUCUAAUUUAAGGUUUCGCGUGCCAAUAAUACCUUUUAACGUUUUUAGAAGGUCUCUUUCUAUAAGUCUAUAAUAUAUAACUAAACUAUUGUUGUAUGUAAAGUAAAUAAGGUUUUAAAAUGUUUAAGAAGCUUCAUUUAAAAUUAAAUUAAAAUGCAGAGCUCCCCAGAUCAGUGGCCAGGACCCGGACAGUGUGAGUGCCACUGAAAAUCAGCUCAUGUGCCGCCUUCGGCACGCGUGCCAUAGGUUGCCUACCCCUGGUCUAGAGCUAGAUUCUGGGUGGAAGACAGUGGGACUACGCUUCUUCCCAUUAUCAGCUGGGAUGUAAUUAAACGUUUCUGUUCCUGUACCUGGUGGUAUGUUUUUAACAGUGUAAGUGAGAGGUUUUCCCUAGCUCUAGCUGCCAGUUUUCAUAGCCCAAAGAAACCUCUGGUUCUGUUUCUUUUCAGACACCCUGAAACCUUCAGCAGAAGUGAAAUGUGUUUCCUGAACCAAGGUGAAGAGCCCCCUAUUCUAAUCAGAGAGGCAGUAUGUUGUGGCCAGUUGCCAAACAGCCAGGGCUCUGGACAUGAUGGAAACUUGAGAAGAAGCAUUGCACAUCUGCACCUUUAG
rnacentral:lncRNA from 1 species